rnacentral:rRNA from 1 species
CAGCCGCCACGGUAAUACAGAGGGUGCGAGCGUUAAUCGGAUUUACUGGGCGUAAAGCGUGCGUAGGCGGCUUUUUAAGUCGGAUGUGAAAUCCCUGAGCUUAACUUAGGAAUUGCAUUCGAUACUGGGAAGCUAGAGUAUGGGAGAGGAUGGUAGAAUUCCAGGUGUAGCGGUGAAAUGCGUAGAGAUCUGGAGGAAUACCGAUGGCGAAGGCAGCCAUCUGGCCUAAUACUGACGCUGAGGUACGAAAGCAUGGGGAGCAAACAGGAUUAGAUACCCCCGUAGUCCCUGUCUCUUAUAC